rnacentral:lncRNA from 1 species
UACUUAGUUGAACAAUUUAUUUACACAUUUCAAUGAGUAGUCUAAUAUUUAUUAUGUUUCUAUUUAAGGUAUAUGUAUGACAAAUUGAUGCGGGGAACUGAAUUGUGUAACCGUUUCAAUUUUAUUGCUGCUUCCCGUGUCAACGCAACGUUAAUAUCGAAAAAUCCAACAUCCGUAAAGAAUGAUCUAGUCGAUAGAUUCAUGGCGGCCGGCGAUAAUACUACACGCAGUUUGUAUUUUUUACCGUUUAAUUCUG